CAAUAGCGUAUAUUAAAGCUGUUGCGGUUAAAAAGCUCGUAGUUGGAUUUCUGUCAAGUACAACUGGUCCGCCCUCCGGGUGAGCACAUAGUUUGGUCUUGGCAUCUUGCUGGAAAUUGUUGCUGCACUUGGCUGUGUGGCGCAGUGUCCAGCACUUUCACUUUGAGGAAAUUGGAGUGUUUCAAGCAGGCAAUGCCUUUGAACACAGUAGCAUGGAAUAAUUAGAUUGGGCUUUUGCUCCAAUUUGUCGGUUUCUGGAGCUGAGGUGAGAAUUAAUGGGGAUUGUUGGGGGCAUCCGAAUUUAGCCGUCGGAGGUGAAAUUCUUGGAUCGGCUAAAGACGGACAACUGCGAAAGCGUUUGCCCAGGAUGUUUUCAUUG
rnacentral:rRNA from 1 species